GAUGAAGAACGUAGCGAAAUGCGAUACUUGGUGUGAAUUGCAGAAUCCCGUGAACCAUCGAGUCUUUGAACGCAAGUUGCGCCCGAAGCCACUAGGCCGAGGGCACGCCUGCCUGGGCGUCACACGUCGUUGCCCCCCCCCCAUCUACUCCUUCGGGAUUGCGGGGGGCGGAUGAUGGCCUCCCGUGCGCCUAGCCGCGCGGUUGGCAUAAAUACCAAGUCCUCGGCGACGCACGCCACGACAAUCGGUGGUUGCGAAACCUCGGUUGCCCGUCGUGUGCGUUCGUCGCGCAUCGAGGGCUCGAAAAAAUGCUCGGCUCCGGCUCGGCUUUCAACGCGACCCCAGGUCAGGCGGGGUUACCCGCUGAAUUUAAGCAUACAAUAAGCGGAGA
rnacentral:misc_RNA from 1 species